AUUGAACGCUGGCGGCAGGCCUAACACAUGCAAGUCGAACGAGUGGCGGACGGGUGAGUAAUGUCUGGGAAACUGCCUGAUGGAGGGGGAUAACUACUGGAAACGGUAGCUAAUACCGCAUACCAUCAGAUUUGCCCAGAUGUGAUUAGCUUGUUGGUGGGGUAACGGCUCACAAGGGCGACGAUCCCUAGCUGGUCUGAGAGGAUGACGGGCCACACUGGAACGGAGCAACGGGCAAGACUCCUACGGGAGGCAGAGGAGGGGAAUAUUGCACAAUGUGCGCAAUCCGGAUGAAGCCAGGCCGCGUAGAUGAAGAAGGCCUUCGGGUUGUAAAGUACUUUCAGCGGGGAGGCGUUACCCGCAGAAGAAGCACCGGCUAACUCCGUGCCAGCAGCCGCGGUAAUUC
rnacentral:rRNA from 1 species